rnacentral:misc_RNA from 1 species
UCUCCGUAGGUGAACCUGCGGAGGGAUCAUUACUGAGUGAGGGCUCACGCCCGACCUCCAACCCUUUGUGAACCAAACUUGUUGCUUCGGGGGCGACCCUGCCGACGACUCCGUCGCCGGGCGCCCCCGGAGGUCUUCUAAACACUGCAUCUUUGCGUCGGAGUACCUUUGAUAAAUCAAUCAAAACUUUCAACAACGGAUCUCUUGGUUCUGGCAUCGAUGAAGAACGCAGC